rnacentral:lncRNA from 1 species
CCGACCUCCCCUCGCCUCCGGAUUCCGGCCGCGCGGCUGCUCCCCGCUUCCCACUGGCGAGAGGCUGGAGGUGGUGAAGGAGUCGGGGAGCGGAGGCGGGGGGGGUGUCUGCCUUUUAACCCUCCCCAAGAGGUCGUGCCUCUGAGCCCCAAAGCUGAAGGCCCCUCUUGGGGGUGGGUGCGGGCCGGAGGGGCCCGAUCCUUUCAGAGCCGGGCCGAGGUGAAGGAAAAGAAGGAAGCAAGAAGAGCCAUUUGGAGUUAGAGGUCUCAGCUGUGAAGCCAGAACAAUAAAAAUAAAAACAGCGCGGACUCCUGGGCAGCCUGGACCAGGGAACCAACUGCCCCAAGAGUUGCUGCUCACCAGGCUGGAAGGUGAGGCAGCUGAGACUUCAGGAGGCCUCUGCUCACACGCCACCUCCUUGAGAUGCCUUGCCAGACCACCCUGUUAAAGUAGUCACCCCCACCCCUGCCCAAUAUGCCCUACCCUCUUCCCUAUUUUAUCUUCAUAGCAUGCAUCGCGGCCUGCUAAUAUUGUGUGUCUCCAUUGCAUUUUGUCUGUCUCCCUGACUAGCUCCAGGUCAGUUUAUCCUAGUGGCUUGCACUCCAGUGAUCUCUCAGACUAGCCCCGUGGGGCAAGUUAUUUUGAUGAUCUGUGCUUCCUUCGGGGUAAUGAUAGGACCUUACCUGAAAGGUUUCUUGUAAGGGUUAAAUGAGUUAAUAUCGGUUAAGUGUCGGCCACUGCCAUUGUUUUGUCCCAGAGCUGUAGCUCCAGGGUCUUCAACAGUAAACAGUAGGUUGUCAAUAAAUAUGUAUUAAAUUUAAAAACUGGGCUGGGCAUGGUGGCUUACACCUGUAAUCCCAGCACUUUGGGAGGCAGAGGUGGGAGGAUUGCUUGAGCCCAGGCGUUCCAGGCUGCAGUGACCUGUGAUUGUUCCACUGCACUCCAGCCUGGGCCACAGAGUGAGACCCUAUCUCUAAAAUAAUAAUAAGUAAAAAUAAUAAAUAAAUGAAGCUCUCUGCCCACGAUCCAAUCUCAGGGUAAGGAAUUGGCACAGCCUAGAUUUGAAGGUGGGUCUCUAUGAACCUGUGCUUCAAUCCAUCCCACUUCAUAAUCGCCUCUCCACAGGCCUCCAUCCAACCACAGCUGCACAGGCAUCAGAGCUUUGGUUCUACAACGUGAGCUGAUACCAAUAGCCCCUGGAGGGAUUGUUAAAACACUGAUUCCAGGGCCCUAGCCAUGGAGUGUCUGAUUCAGUAGGCCUUAGGUGAGGUCUGAAAAUCUGCGUUUCUAACAAAGUCCCAGGUGAUACUGACACUACUGAUUCAGGGAUCACACUUUGAGAACCGCUGAAUAGACUGCCAUUCAAGCCAAGCCAAUCCUCUUGGCUCUACCUUCAAAAUAAACCCAGAAUCCAACCACACCUUCCCACCUGCAUCACACUCCGGUCCCAGUACCUUCAUUUCUCACCUGGAUUAGUGCGGUCACUUCCUCACUGGCUCCGUACUUCCUGGACUCCCCACCUUGUUGCUUCUUCAAUAAAAGCCUCCCAAUGGCCUUCCACUCCUUCUCUUGGAGUAAAACCUGAAGUUCUCAAUGCAGCUCAAAAGGCCCCCUGUGAUCCCCUGCUUCACUGACCCGGUCUCCCUGCACUCUCCCCCUUGCUCACUCCACUCCAGUGAAUUCACCAUCUCAGUAUUCUUUGAACAUGCCCAGCAGGCGCCUACCCCAGGGCCUUUGCACGGGCUGUUCCCUGUGCCAAGAACCCUCUUCCCCAGCUAGCUGCCUAGUUUGCCCCUGACUCUUCCUUAGGGUCUAUGCUCAAAUAUCACCUCCGCAGAGAAGCAUGUCCUGACCACUCAGCUAAAACUGUCCCAUCACUUCCUAUUCCCUACUCCACUUUAUUUUUUGAUAGCAUUUCCAUUUCUUGACAGCAUAUCAAUGUUAUACAUUUGAUUGGUUGCGUGGCUCUCCUACUGAUCUUUGAGCUCCAUGUGAGCUCUUUGCCUUUGUUCGC